AUGGCUUUAAGAGGAAGCAGAGAUGGGGGCGUCAUGGCUGCGCUGGGGAUGACACCCUCUCCCUCUAGCUGGGUGUCCCUCUAGCUUGGGCAGGGCCUUUCCCUCUCCAAGCUUUUGAGUGCUCAGCCUGCAAUGGCGGACUCCAGCCCCCCUCACACCACCUUGCAGGUGAGUGAGGAAACCCAGCACCAGCACCUGGGUGUGCAGCGUGGGAGAUGUUUUAGGGAUUCCACCCCUUCUUGGAGCUUUUCUAUUUAAAACAAUUUUUUUUAACUUUUUGUAGAGAUGGGGGUCUCACUGUGUUGCCCAGGCUGUUCUUGAACUCCUUGAAGUUCAAGUGAUCCUCCCACCAUAGCCUCUCAAAGUGUUAGGAUUACAGGCGGGAGCCACCGUGCCCAGCCCCUUCUUGGAUCAUGUAGUGCUUCCUGGGUCCUUUUCCUCUUUAUUCUCCCUCCCCCUGCACCCCAGAACUGAUGUGGGGCUGAUCUGACCUUACUGACAGGGUGGGAGCCCAGGUGCCCUUCCUACCCUCCCCAAGGGGCUCUACGACCCUCCAGGACAGUCUUUGCCCAGGUGCCCUGAGGGCUCCUGGAAGCAGCAGUGAGAUGCACUCUGGAGUAGAUGGCUCCCUCUCUCAGCCUCCAGCCUUCGAGUCCACUGACAUGCAGCCACAGCCAUUCCCGGCUCCACACUUAGCCCUUCAGCAAGGCCUCCUCACCACAUCCUGAGCCUGUUCAUCACCUCCUCCCUGAGGCCACUGCCCAGGUCCGCACCUCCUCAUCUCCCACCUGGACCAUCCAUGGCAGAAACCUCCCAUCUGGUCUCCUGGCCCCUCCUCGAUGAUCCCAACUCUGCCCACACCAGAGGUGAUCUCCUGAUCUCCUCUGGCGUGAAUCACACUGCUCUGCCCCCUAGCCCACCUGGCUUGCUGUCAGUGCAGGGUCUAGGCCCCUCAUCCCUCCUUUACCCCCACCUCCCAGCCCCUUCCCAGUGUCCCAGCCCCUCCCCAGCAUUCCAGCCCCACUGGCCUUCCUUUGCAUCUCCCGUGGUUGUGCCCCGCUCCUGCCCCAGGACCUUCACACAUGCUGUCCCUCAGCCCUGCAAGAACCAUCUGCUGGAGCCGAGCAGAGGCUGCCUCCUUUGAACAGGACCUGUACCCUCCACUCCCCUACCGCUGCACCACACCAAUCCAUCAUCACACUUAUGAUGUCAUCUUCUCAGAGGUGGGGAAGCUGAGGCCCAGAGAGGAGGCAGUUCCUGGAAAGCAAGCGGGCCAAGUUCCUCACAGAGAUCAGAAGAGCAACAAGAUCUCCAGGCCAGGGCAGAGGUCCCCGCCCUGGAUGCUGGUGACACUUCCCCUGGGCGGGAGGGGCUGGGAGCAUGCAGAUCUCAGCCCUGAACAGCCUGUCCUCUCGCCUCGAGGUUCUUGGUAGGCUGGGAACAGCCUGUCCUGCUGAGCUUCCUGUCACCUCUCUAGCUGCCCACACGCCGCACAGCUGCCACCGCCGGCCCUGGCCCGGGAGAGGGGGGUCUCUGGGGCUCUUAGCAGGCCAUGGUGGGGGUGUCUUGGGGCCAGCCUGAACUGAAAGACCAUCACAGCUUGCAAGCCACCUCCCUGCUCUGUUGCUGGCUCUCCUUGAAGACAAGUUUUUUUCAAUUAACCAAAGCGGUGCAUGGCAAUGUGCUAAGAGAAUCAAACACAGAGCAACAGAAUCAAUGCCCCACACUGGGAAAUAGCCGACUUUCUGUUCCCUCCCAUCCCUUCCUUCCCUCCCCGCCUCCUUCCCCUACUCCUUCCAUUCCACAAACAUUUAUUGAGCACCUGCUGUGUGCCAGCCACUGUUCUAGGCCCUGAAGACACAGAAGUGAACCAAAAAAAGAGUCCCUGUGCACAUCCUGGAGGGAAUUUCCCUGUGUGUGUGUGUGUGUGUGUGUGUGUGUGUGUCUAUACAGUGUAUGCAGACAGUGGAUAAUAAAAGCU